ensembl:snRNA U4 U4 spliceosomal RNA
AGCUUUGCGCAGCGGCUGUAUCGUAGCAAAUGAGGUUUAUCUGAGGCGUGAUUAUUGCUAAUAGUAUCAAAACUGAAAAUAAAGCCUUGUCAAUCUAUCAAUAUGUAAAUAACUAUAUUAGUUAUAUAUAUGAAUGUCCAGUAUGAUACACAGGUC